CACGCAAUGGCACCCACUGUGCAAUAUAUCGUAAAACAAUAUCACCAUAGUCGCUACGCCCUAUGAGACCACAUACCCAAUCUGCUUAAGAAAGGCACAAUACAAAACAAGAUGCCGGCCUCAAAAAAAAAAAACACAGGGACCAUAUGUUAUAAGCCUCUGCGUAGGCUACUGCUGUAAAACUACUGAUGACACAACCCCACAUCCCAAACCAUUUACUAAGUAUACAACACUACCCCUG